AACAAACCCUUAGCAUGUUCAGAGUACUCUACAAUAGUUAAUUUAACACAGGGAGUAUUAAAAGAAAGUCAGAUUUUAAGUGUUCUAAUGCCCAGGCUUGUAGUCGGUAUGACGUUUAGCCUAGUUAGGUUGUUCAGUGGUUGUUGCUGUUUUUUUUUUUUCUUCUAAAAAUGGAAGCCUUUUUUUAGGGAGCUACAUAGCACCUUUAAUGGCUUCCCCAAAGAAACAAGCCAAAAUGGUUCAGCUUUACUCAAGGGUACUUUGACUAGGUUUUAUACAGAACCAUUCAGAAUGCCCAUGUGGGAUACAUCGAAGAAUCGUUUAGGAUUCUAAUGAAAGAUUAUAGAGCCACUUGCUUGAGAGCCUCAGUAACUGGGGCGAUAAGAAAGUUGCUUCUGAUGUUUGUGUGAAUAUAGCUGGCAUCCAUCCCUGGUGACCAUUCAGCCAGAGGGAUGAUCUCAGUGGGACUCCAGCAGCUUUUGCUGUUCGUUUCUUACCCAAGUAGCUGUGGCUGGUCAUGCAGGUUGGGAUUUGAAGUGGCGACUUAUCCCGUGGACAAAGUAGGACCUCUCCCUAAUAAUGAAUCUGUUGACGUCAUAACACUGAUAACGAGAUCGUAUGUAAUUAUGUAUUUGUCUACUUAGUUUUUAGUGUACAGCAAAGAUUAAAAAAGAUGGUCAAGUCUGUGUCUGUCCAGAGCUGUGACGUUUUGGCCUAUUUAUGAUUGUGUUCCAUGCAUAUCCUCGCACAGACAAAAUGGCCUUUCUUCUCUUUCUCUGCAGGCAAAAACGCCUUUUUGAUGAGAGAGGUCAGAGGAGAAUUGCCAGACUGGUUUGAGCUGCAGGAAGGCUGCGGUAACUAAAAAAAAAAGAAAACAUUCUUUACAACCAUGGUGAGCAGAAAAACAUCCCAGAAUGCAGAACAAAUCAAACCUUGACGUGGAUGGGCUACAACAACUGAAGAAGAGCCAAAAAGAAGAAUCUGUGGGCAUAGGCUCACAAAUGUCACUGGACAUUUGAAGACUUGAAACAUGUUGCCUGGACUGAUAUCCCUCUUGAUUUCUGCUCUGACAUGCAGGUAGUAGGCUCACUAAUUUGUGUCAACACCAUAAAUCCAUGAACCCCAACCUGCACUUUGUCAAGAGUUCAGGCUGCUGGUGGUGGUAUAAUGGUGUAGGGAAUGUUUUCUUGACACACAUUGGGCCCUUUAAUACCAAUCAAUCAUUGUUUGAAUGACACAGCCUGCUUAUUGAUGCUGACCAUGUGCAUCCUUUUAUGGCGACAAUUUACCCAUCUUAUAAUGGCUACAUGCAGCAUGACAACGUGCCAUGUCACAAAGCACAAUUCAUCACAAACUGGUUCCAUGAACAUGACAAUGACCCUAUUGUACUUCAUUGGCCUUCCCAGUCACCAGGUCUGAAUCAAAUAGGGCACCUUUGGGAUGUGGUAUAACAGGAGAUUUGCAGCCUGAAUGUGUAGCAGACAAAUCUGCAGCAAUUAUGUGAUUCAAUCAUGUCAACAUGGACCAGAAGCUCAAAGGAAUGUUUCCAAUAUCUUAUGGAAUCCAUGCCAUGACAAAUUGGGCUGUUCUGUAUUAAUACCAGUUUUAGUAUGGUGUUCCUAAUAAAGAGGCCGGUGAGUGUACAUCUGUUAAAAAAGAAUAAACUUUAUCUUAACUCUCCCCAAAUACCCACACAAGCCACUGAGUGGAGAAAAUUAUUGUUUACAUCAUUUAAAGUAAAAUUCCAUCUCUUCUACAAUUAUAUACUGUAUGUGAAGUUACACGUCUUAGCAUAAUUAACACUAAACUGUGGUAGGCAGUGGAAUCUUAAUCUUAGUGUGCAUGUUUGUCACAGCUGAUGUAAGUGUAGAAAUUGACUGGAACACUCAGUAAUUUGCGCUUUUCUGCUGAAGUGAAGGCAUCAAAAUCAGAAAUGCCUCAACUAAACAAGUGUAACUUGAAAACCAGGGAUGAAAUAUGAAACUUCGGUGCAGCUAUUUUUAUUUGUGGACAAAUAGAAAUACUUUUUUAUGCAAAUACAAUCGAAAUAAAUUGCAAACAUUGUAAACUACACACCAUCACCCUCUCACACAGGCAAAACCCUGCUGUGUGAUGUUCCUUCAUUUUCUUUUUCCAAACAAAGAACAGAGCAUUUAUAAAGACAGACUCAGUCUCUCAGGCUGUUGAAUGCUUACCAAAUCAGCAGGGUUCAGAGAAGACCGGACUGGAGCCUGCGGCUGCUGCGUGUGAUGGCCUGUCUGAGGCUGCGCGGCCUCGUUCCCAGCCACCACUCUCUGGAACAUUCCUUGGUCAAGGGCAGGAGUGGAGAGGAAUAGAAGGCCUUAUACAGCCACGCUUGCUGAAUGUUUAUUUCAUUGCUUGUUUUUUUGGGCACAGGAAGAUCUACACAUCUGAUUUUGUUGUGCUGCAUGUGGACCAACUCAUUCUCUGAGAUAAAUCUGCUACACAUGCUGCUUUUGUGCUUUCAUAAAAUAACAUGCCCAAAUCAAGUGAGCCUUCGGUCUUCUGGUCAUAUGCAAAUCUAUGUACUGUAUAUUAGAUCACCUGUGAUUGAGUAUGAAAUGCAAAUUGAGCAGGAACAUGACAGAAAGUCUGUGUGGUACUUCCACUGGAACCUCUGACUGAUACAUGCACUCGCCUUCCUACCUACCAAAAGGCAGGCUGUCCCAGUCCUCCACCCAGUGAUCUUAUCCAGCUGAGCUUUAAAUGAUACCUAACUGAGUUGUUAAUUCCAGAGUCACCCAACGUACAGUUAAUGUCGAAUGGGCAUUUUUUCAAACAAUCUUUCAGCAGUUGCCAGAGCUGUUUGUGUGUGACAUUUAGGUUAACCACAUAUGAAGCAGUAUAUGCUUUAAUUGCAAGCAAAGGCUCCACUUCUAUUUAACAGGAAUUCUGUCACAUACAAGUGGUUUGGCCUCACUUGACUGUGUCUUGGGCAAAAGUCAAUAUAUAUUUUUUGUCAAAGAAUGGUUUUACUUACUGUUUUGCUUUAAUCAAUUUUGUUUAAGAGAGAAAGCAAUCAAAAAGCAAUUUGAAUUAUUUUUAGUAUCCUAGAAUCAAGCAAAGGCCUUGUGAAGAAAUCCCUUUUGGAAUCCAUCACAGUCAGAGAAAAACUUGUACUCAUACUGUGUUUUGUAUUUGUAUUUCCAAAGAUUGCGUUAUAUCAGUGUUCAUUCACAUUUGUAUCUGCCUUUUGGAGAAACUACAUAUCAGGCAAAGGCUAAAUAAACCCAAUCAGUGUAACUUUUA